rnacentral:rRNA from 1 species
UCGAAUCGUUUACUUACGGUGGUAGAGCACUGGAUUUGUGCGGGGGCUUCACCGCCUACCAACCAAAACCAAACUCCGAAUGCCGUAAGUCUAGAGAUCGGGAGUCAGAAUAUGUGGGCUAAGCCGUGUAUUCGAAAGGGAAACAGCCCAGACCGCCUGCUAAGGUCCCUAAAUCUAUGCUAAGUGGCAAAGGAUGUGCGUUUGCCUAGACAACCAGGAUGUUGGCUUAGAAGCAGCCAUGCAUUUAAAGAGUGCGUAACAGCUCACUGGUCAAGUGGACAUGCGCCGACAAUUCACGGGGCUAAGCAUAGUACCGAAGCAGCGGACUGAUUUUUCAGUGGUAGGGGAGCUUUCUGUACUGGGUUGAAGCUGUUGGGUGACCAAUGGUGGACUGUACAGAAGUGAGAAUGCUGGCAUGAGUAACGAGAGAAGUGCGAGAAACACUUCCGCCGUAAGCCUAAGGGUUCCUGGGCAAGGCUAAUCCUCCCAGGGUCAGUCGGGAGCUAAGACGAGGCAGUAAUGCGUAGUCGAUGCACAACAGGUUGAUAUUCCUGUACCACCUUUGAUUCGUUUGUACGAUGGGGUGACGGAGAAGGGUAGUCAAGCGGGGUUCUGGACGUCCCCGUGAAAGCGCGUAGGGUUGAGUGUAGGUAAAUCCGCACUCUGUAUGCCUGAGACGUUAGACGAAGCUUUUAGUGAAGUUGAUGAGCCCAUGCUUCCAAGAAAAACCUCUAAGGAGAAGAUAGGGUGCCCGUACCAAAACCGACACAGGUAGGCGGGUAGAGCAUACCAAGGCGAUCGGGAGAACUAUGGUUAAGGAACUCGGCAUAAUGACUCCGUAACUUCGGGAGAAGGAGUGCCAUCUUUUGUGAUAGGGCUUGCCCCUUUGAGCGAGAGGUGGUCGCAGUGAAACGGCCCAAGCGACUGUUUAUCAAAAACACAGGACUCUGCUAAGUCGUAAGACGAUGUAUAGGGUCUGACGCCUGCCCGGUGCUGGAAGGUUACGUGGAUGGGUUAGCGCAAGCGAAGCUUUGAAACUAAGCCCCAGUAAACGGCGGCCGUAACUAUAACGGUCCUAAGGUAGCGAAAUUCCUUGUCGGGUAAGUUCCGACCUGCACGAAUGGCGUAACGAUUUGGGCGCUGUCUCAACCAUAGACCCGGUGAAAUUGUAUUAUUCGUGAAGAUGCGAAUUACCCACGGAAGGACGGAAAGACCCCGUGAACCUUCACUACAGCUUGACAUUGAUUAUUGGUUCUGUGUGUAGAGGAUAGGUGGGAGACUUUGAAGCAGGGACGCCAGUUUCUGUGGAGUCACCCUUGGAAUACCACCCUUACAGUAUCGGUAAUCUAACGUGCGACCGUUAUCCGGCGUGCGGACCGUGUCAGGUGGGUAGUUUGACUGGGGCGGUCGCCUCCUAAAAGGUAACGGAGGCGUACGUAAGGUUUGCUCAGAUUGGUUGGCAAUCAAUCGUAGAGUACAAGAGUAUAAGCAAGCUUGACUGCGAGACCUACAAGUCGAGCAGAGACGAAAGUCGGUUCUAGUGAUCCGGCGGCUCAGAGUGGAAUGGCCGUCGCUCAACGGAUAAAAGGUACUCC